rnacentral:rRNA from 1 species
CGGGCUGAGUAACACGUAGGAACGUACCCCAAACUGAGGCAUAAGCACCAGAAAUGGUGUCUAAUACCGCAUGUGGUCUUCGGAUUAAAGCUUCGGCGGUUUGGGAACGGCCUGCGCAUGAUUAGCUUGUUGGUGAGGUAAAAGCUCACCAAGGCGAUGAUCAUUAGCUGGUCUGAGAGGAUGAUCAGCCAGACUGGGACUGAGAACGGCCCAG